AGAGUUUGAUCAUGGCUCAGGAUGAACGCUAGCGACAGGCUUAACACAUGCAAGUCGAGGGGCAUCAUGAGGUAGCAAUACCUUGAUGGCGACCGGCGUACGGGUGAGUAACGCGUAUCCAACCUGCCCACCACUUGGGGAUAACCUUGCGAAAGUAAGACUAAUACCCAAUGAUAUCUCUAGAAGACAUCUGAAAGAGAUUAAAGAUUUAUCGGUGAUGGAUGGGGAUGCGUCUGAUUAGCUUGUUGGCGAGGUAACGGCCCACCAAGGCAACGAUCAGUAGGGGUUCUGAGAGGAAGGUCCCCCACAUUGGAACUGAGACACGGUCCAAACUCCUACGGGAGGCAGCA
rnacentral:rRNA from 1 species